AAUCAAGAGGUCUUUCUAGGGUUGUAAUGUGGCUUGGGUUACAAGAAAGGAUAUGAUUAAGAGAAUUCAACAAAGUUGCCUAUCCUAAGGGAGCAUUUCCAUAUAUUCAACUCUACACAAAUUCCAUUUCUUUGAUCCCCGUCUUUUUCUUUUCUUUUUCUUUUUACAUCCACACAACCAUGAGCCUUUUCUUUGUUUUUUUUCUAUCUUUUCUUUUUCUUUGCUCUAUGGUUUCAAGGGUGAUUUCUUUUUCUUGUUUCUUUUUAUAUUUUCACCCUUUCAUAAAAACUCACUUUUCCAAGUUUCUAAUCAAAUCUUUUUACUUUACUCUCCCCAACUUUAGAUUCCAAAACCAAAUUUAUUCAAUAAUGCUCCCUACUUAGACAUAAGCAAAAGGCAAAAUUUUC
rnacentral:lncRNA from 1 species